rnacentral:lncRNA from 1 species
CUUAGGUGAAGAUGAGCUAUCUACAUAUAUUUUUAAAUAUUCCUGUGCCAAGACAGAGAAUCAUUUAUUCCUGUCAAAAGCGUGAAUGCAGAUUUCUUAAAUAACUGAUGAAGUCAUCUUACGAAGCCAAAAGUAAAAAGGCAGAGGAAACAAACAAGCACAUCUCCAAGUAUAUCCAAUUCUUCAUAUCUUUUCCAGAAAGUAGCAAGAACAGCAUAAGAAAUUAAAGAACAAAACAGAGUUUUGAAGAGUCUCUCUGAGUAAGUCAGGCACAAACUUUGGUCUAUACUGAGAAGUGGCAAAUACCCAUGGAGAAGAAAAUGACCAGCAACAUCAGCUCAUUCCAGAAAGGCCUUCUUUCAGAAUUGAAGUCCAUCAUUGCUUCUAUGGCUCUUAUAUAUUUAAAACAUUAUGUUUAUAACAUAUCUAGCCCUUUCUGCUUUUCAGCAGGAACACUGGUUUGAUGAAAUCUACUCAUUCUACUCAAAAAAUGGAAGGGCAUUUUUAUAUGGAUUCUCAUGGAAAAGAUGCUAUCUUGGAGAAGAUCCCAACUCUAUCCUCAUUGCCCAUCCCAAUAGACAUAGCAUUAUAAGCAGCAGUACUGUAAAGUGAUAAACUUUGUGGUGGACAAAAUCUACUAUGGCUCCCAAUGGUCUCUGCCUCCAGAUAAUUUGUAGCAGUUGCACUGGGGAACAGGCCCAUGGAGCUCCUGAUUUUUCAUGCUGGAAGUGGGACACUGCACGCCCUCUAUUUUUAACACUUAGGUUUUUGGAGCUUUGAUUAAUUUGGGCAGAGAAAGUAUAUUACACAGGUCAUUUCUUUACUUACCACAAGCAAAGGAAUAAAAGAUUCAAUAUUCUCAAUAAAAUGGAGAUUUAUUUUUUUCAUUUUCUGGUAGCAGCAGUUUCAUACACACACACACACACACACACACACACACACACACACACAAACACUCACUCACUUUGCAUUUCUCUUCCUGCUUCUAGCUCAGGACACAGUGGAUAGACCAAUAGUGAUGAGAGCGCUAGGGAGAACUAACACUCUAUGUUUCCUCCUUUUUUUUUUUUUUUUUUUUACUAUUUUUACUACUUUCCUAUUUUUGUUACAAUGUUUUAGUAACG